GACGAACGCUGGCGGCGUGCUUAACACAUGCAAGUCGAACGGAAAGGCCCUGCUUGCAGGGUACUCGAGUGGCGAACGGGUGAGUAACACGUGGGUGAUCUGCCCUGCACUUCGGGAUAAGCCUGGGAAACUGGGUCUAAUACCGGAUAGGAGCCAUUUUUAGUGUGAUGGUUGGAAAGUUUUUUGGGUGUAGGAUGAGCUCGCGGCCUAUCAGCUUGUUGGUGGGGUAAUGGCCUACCAAGGCGGCGACGGGUAGCCGGCCUGAGAGGGUGGACGGCCACAUUGGGAGAGAGAUAGGGCCGAGACUCCUGGGGGGGAGAGGAGGGGGAAAUAUUGCAAAGGGGGGGCAAGCCUGGUGCCGCGGCGGCGCGUGGGGGAUGGGGGCCUGCGGGUUGAAAACCCUUUGCGCGAGAGGAGAAGUUUUUUGUGGCGAUGCGUAGAUAAGAACCGCCGAAUAACGUC
rnacentral:rRNA from 1 species